UGGGGAGUGACGUCAAGUCAUCAUGGCCCUUACGGCCUGGGCUACACACGUGCUACAAUGGUCGGUACAAAGGGUUGCCAAGCCGCGAGGUGGAGCUAAUCCCAUAAAACCGAUCGUAGUCCGGAUCGCAGUCUGCAACUCGACUGCGUGAAGUCGGAAUCGCUAGUAAUCGUGAAUCAGAAUGUCACGGUGAAUACGUUCCCGGGCCUU
rnacentral:rRNA from 1 species